CACAGCUGCGGUUGAAAAAGCAGGAAAAAAGCUCUUUUCCAAAAGGGCACUUGCACGGAGCACUGCUCAGUUGUCCGGGCAGCUCAGGAGGUUGUAAAUUGCACUCAUGUGACACAGAGCGACAGAACCGGUAGUUAUACCGAUUGGAUCCCAUCCCUGGCUAAAAUGAUCAUGGACCUUGUAG